rnacentral:tRNA from 1 species
AAAAAGAUAAGCUAAUAAAGCUCCUGGGUUCAUACCUCAUUUAUAAAGGUUUUAAUCCUUUUCUUUUUA